UAUUUAUUAGAUAAAAAACCAAUGCCCUUCGGGGCUCCUUGGUGAAUCAUAAUAACUUAACGAAUCGCAUGGCCUUGCGCCGGCGAUGGUUCAUUCAAAUUUCUGCCCUAUCAACUUUCGAUGGUAGGAUAGUGGCCUACCAUGGUAUCAACGGGUAACGGGGAAUUAGGGUUCGACUCCGGAGAGGGAGCCUGAGAAACGGCUACCACAUCCAAGGAAGGCAGCAGGCGCGCAAAUUACCCAAUCCCGACACGGGGAGGUAGUGACAAUAAAUACUGAUACAGGGCUCUUUUGGGUCUUGUAAUUGGAAUGAGUACAAUUUAAAUUCCUUAACGAGGAACAAUUGGAGGGCAAGUCUGGUGCCAGCAGCCGCGGUAAUUCCAGCUCCAAUAGCGUAUAUUAAAGUUGUUGCAGUUAAAAAGCUCGUAGUUGAACCCUGGGCCUGGCUGGCCGGUCCGCCUCACCGCGUGUACUGGUCCGGCCGGGCCUUUCCUUCUGGGGAACCUCAUGCCCUUCACUGGGCGUGUUGGGGAACCAGGACUUUUACUUUGAAAAAAUUAGAGUGUUCAAAGCAGG
rnacentral:rRNA from 1 species